AACGAACGCUGGCGGCAUGCCUAACACAUGCAAGUCGAACGAGACCUUCGGGUCUAGUGGCGCACGGGUGCGUAACGCGUGGGAACCUGCCCCUAGGUUCGGAAUAACUCCCCGAAAGGGGUGCUAAUACCGGAUAAUGUCUUCGGACCAAAGAUUUAUCGCCUUUGGAUGGGCCCGCGUUGGAUUAGCUAGUUGGUAGGGUAAAAGCCUACCAAGGCGACGAUCCAUAGCUGGUCUGAGAGGAUGAUCAGCCACACUGGGACUGAGACACGGCCCAGACUCCUACGGGAGGCAGCAGUGGGGAAUAUUGGACAAUGGGCGAAAGCCUGAUCCAGCAAGGCCGCGUGAGUGAUGAAGGCAUUAGGGUUGUAAAGCUCUUUUACCCGGGAUGAUAAUGACAGUACCGGGAGAAUAAGCUCCGGCUAACUACGUG
rnacentral:rRNA from 1 species